CUCUUCAGGAGGUGGUGGAGAGCUGCCAUUUUCAAGCAUCACAGCUCAGGCGGUGUAGGUAAACCCACAGCAGCUCAAGGAGAGCGGGCCAGCAUUAGAAGAUGGUGGGCCAAUAGGAGACCCUCCAGCACUGAAGAGGCAGCGGGCUGUCUUCAGGCCUAGAGUGCAUCGGAAAUAAGAGAAAACACACACGACUGGGAAAACUGCAUCUGAACAAGAAACUGAAAAUUCUGGAAGUACUCAGCGGGCCAUUCAGCGUCCGUAGAGGGAGAAACAGGAAUAACAUCGGUGUCCUGUGCAGGGAGGAGGAGGAUAGGUCAUUCGUCUGAAACCCUGGCCUGGAUUUUAAUCCUCGAGUGUUGGUGGGAGUUGGGAUAAUUCCUGCUCGGUCUCUGUUUCUUAACCAUGCGGCCUUGGAGUAUCAUUACAUCAGUAUCAGGUGUCCUGCAGUUAAAAGAUUUUUAUUAAAAAG